UACGUAGGGUGCGAGCGUUAAUCGGAUUUACUGGGCGUAAAGCGUGCGCAGGCGGCUCGUUAAGACAGGUGUGAAAUCCCUGGGCUCAACCUAGGAAUUGCGCUUGUGACUGGCGGGCUCGAGUACGGUAGAGGGGGGUGGAAUUCCUGGUGUAGCAGUGAAAUGCGUAGAGAUCAGGAGGAACACCGAUGGCGAAGGCAGCCCCCCGGGCCUGUACUGACGCUCAUGCACGAAAGCGUGGGGAGCAAACAGG
rnacentral:rRNA from 1 species